UGGGUAUAAAUACUAGUUUCUUCCCUGUUUGGUUAGCCUAAUCGUGGGUGUGGAAAAAAAAAAUUGUGAAAUUUUAGCGUAAGGUUCACUACCGGAGUGAUACUUUCGUUACAGAAUGAUGUUAAUAGUCAGGUAAUCCCUUUGUCAGAUCCUGUAAUUGAUGGGUAUGUCUAAUAUGUAUGCUGAGUAUAGAGCUGGGAGGAGGACCACUCCACCUGCAACCCCACCUUUUGGAAGAAGACGAGGAUCAUCAGAUACUGAUCCUCGUGUUAGACUUAGCUUUAAUCCAACAGGAUUUCUGCAAAGCUUUGGAAACCCUUUCCGUCGUAGAUCAAAACCAAAGCAUGACUCACGACGUAGUCAUCCUAUUAUCACUGGAACCAUGACAAAGCGGGAAUUUAUAGAACUUGCCAGUUUUGGUGUAGUCAGUGAGUUUGAUCCUUCAGAAAGAGGAGUGGGGCACAAUUUUCAAGCAGCUCAAUUAAAGAACCCAACCUGGUGUGACUUGUGUGGAGACUUUAUCUGGGGAGUUUAUAAAUCCAAGCAGUGUUUGCGAUGUAGGAAUUGUCACUACACAUGUCAUACAGUUUGUCGUGACUUGGUCACGCUAGAUUGCAAGACAGAUGUAGACACAACAGAAUUAACAGAAGUGGUAAUGGAAGAAAAGAAACUUUCCACACCAAGCAGGACUGAGGGGCGACAUUCCCCAUUAUUUUCUGAAAAUCUGGAAGGAGAAGAAUUGUACUGGAGGAUUGAGAGAUACAAUGAUCAAUGCCAAGGACUUGGCAUGACGCUGCAAGAAGAUGGAGUAUCCUUCAGUGGUUUCAUACGUGUACAUCUUAACCUCUCUCGACCAAUAAAUGUAGUUUCUGGAAGCAGACCUCCGUCCAUUUAUGAUGUUCUUAAGGAGGGAGAGGAGAGUGAAAGGAAAACUCUGACAUCUUUUUACUUGCCAAGGGAUACUGUAAAAGCCUUACAUGUUACAAGUGAGUUUACAGCAAGAGAAGUGAUCAGUACACUACUGAAAAAAUUUAAAGUUGCAGACAAUCCACACAAAUAUGCUCUCUAUGAGAGAUAUUUUGACAAAGAAGAUGGUCGUGUGCGACUUCGGCGAAUCCAUGAUGGGGGGAAACCUCUGGUUCUGACAUUGCAGUGGUCAACAGAUGAGAAACAACUUGUUCUUCAAGAGAAUGAAACGGGGGAUAUUGUGUGGGAUGAUUUUACUCUCCCGGAACUGAAUAACUUCUUGAAAAUUCUGGAUCGAGAAGAGGAGGAAUAUAUCAAACAAGUUCAAACUAAGUAUAAAAUUCUUCAUCAUAAGAUCCAGGAAGCCAUAGAACAACAUUUAAUUGAACAAAACUCUAUUAAGAAAUCUGAUUCCCAGUCAGCUACUUGAAUUGUAUGCCAUAUUAGAUAGGAAACACUUGCAAUGUUACUUCAUCAUUGUGUCCUUGUAUUUGCUCUCUUUAAAUAUAUAAUGUUCUUUGAAGAGAAAGAAGUGAGAAUUUUAACUUGAGAUACAAGCUUGGCCUGUGAUAGUAGGAGCAUUGUGACACUAAGAUGGAGAUACUGAGAGGUUUAUAGUGCAAGGCAGAGGUAGAGCAUAAUUUGUUAGAUUACACUUUCCUAAAAGGGAAUGAAAUGACACAUUAUCUGCUGAGAGAUUACUUCCUCCCAAUACCAAUUAUAAUAUCUGCAGCAGUUUCUACUGUCAGAAUAAGCCAGAAAGAAAUUACCCUCCAUCAUUAUUGAAAAAAGGAAUAAUAAGAAUAUUCCAAAGUUUGAUUACUUCUAGAAAGUAACCUUUCCAAGCAAGAAUAAUCCUGUGUAAAUUCAGAAUUAAAGAAACAGAAGAACUCUAGCACAACUGUGGGAAAAAACAUGAGAUAAAUAAGAUGUAUCCUGCUCGAAGAAGUUUUACCUGAAAUGAUGAAAUGUUUAGUAGUAGAUUUUCUAAAGAACACUUUAAUAGGCUAAAAUAAUGGAUUGUGUUUUGCUUUGCAGUUAAAACUACCAUCAAUUUUCAUCUUUCAUGGUUACCCAUUUUUUCUAGUACUAAACAUGUAUUAGUAUUAAAAUGUCGUAAAUAAGAAUUUGUUUUAUACUGAA
rnacentral:misc_RNA from 1 species